rnacentral:ncRNA from 1 species
UAUAUAUAUAAUUUAUAAUUUAUUUUAUUAUAAAAUUUUAUUUAAUUAAAAAAAUAUAUGAAAAUUUUUUUUUGUUAAUUUAUUUCUUAAUGAAUUUUAAUUAUUCUCAGUAUUAAAUAUUAAAUAUUAAAGAAAUUUAGAUUUAAUUAUUAAUUUUAGUAUAGACUAAAUAUGUGCCAGCAGUCGUGGUUAAACUUAUUAUGCUAAUAAAAUAGUUUGGUUAUUAGUAUUUUAAUAAUUUAUGUAAUUUAAUUUUUAAUUAUUUAGGUAAAAUUUAAUUUAAAAUUAUUUUUAUAAUUAUUUUAUUCUAUUAAAUUUUAUUUGAAACUAGGAUUAGAUACCCUAUUAUAAAAAUUUAAAAUAAUUACUAAAAAAUUAAUAGUUAUGUUCUUUAAAUUUAAAAAAUUUGGCGGUAUUUUAAGUCUUAUUAGAGGAACCUGUUUUUUAAUUGAUAAUCCACGAUUAAUUUUACUUAUAUUUAAAAUUUAUAUAUCGCUGUCAGGAAUAUGUUAAAAAAUUAUUUUCUUUAAUUAUUUUAAUAAUUUAUGUUAAGUCAAGAUGUAGUUUAUAUAUAAGAAUAUAAUGGGUUACAAUAAAUUUGAUUUUUUGAAUUUUAAAAUGAAAAAUUUAAAUGAAAUUGGAUUUAAAAGUAAAUUUAAUUAAUUUAUUAAUAUGAAUAAAGAUCUGAAAUAUGUACAUAUUGCCCGUCAUUCUUAUAAAAAGUAAGACAAGUCGUAACAAAGUAAGUGUACUGGAAAGUGUAUUUAGAAAGA